rnacentral:rRNA from 1 species
AGAAUCAACGCUGGCGGCGUGCCUAACACAUGCAAGUCGAACGAGAAAGUGGAGCAAUCCAUGAGUAAAGUGGCGACCGGGUGAGUAACACGCGACUAACCUACCUUCGAGUGGGGGAUAACCUCGGGAAACCGAGGCUAAUACCGCAUAACAUCGCAAGAUCAAAGCAGCAAUGCGCUGGAGGAGGGGGUCGCGGCUGAUUAGCUAGUUGGCGGGUAACGGCCCACCAAGGCGAAGAUCGGUA